AUUGAACGCUGGCGGCAUGCCUUACACAUGCAAGUCGAACGGCAGCACGGGUGCUUGCACCUGGUGGCGAGUGGCGAACGGGUGAGUAAUAUAUCGGAACGUACCUUAUUGUGGGGGAUAACGCAGCGAAAGCUGUGCUAAUACCGCAUAAUCCCUAAGGGGAAAAGCGGGGGACCGUAAGGCCUCGCGCAAUUAGAGCGGCCGAUACCUGAUGAGCUAGUUGGUGAGGUAAAGGCUCACCAAGGCAACGAUCAGUAGCUGGUCUGAGAGGACGAUCAGCCACACUGGGACUGAGACACGGCCCAGACUCCUACGGGAGGCAGCAGUGGGGAAUUUUGGACAAUGGGGGCAACCCUGAUCCAGCAAUGCCGCGUGAGUGAAGAAGGCCUUCGGGUUGUAAAGCUCUUUUGUCAGGGAAGAAACAGCAGCUCUAACACAGUUUGCGAAUGACGGUACCUGAAGAAUAAGCACCGGCUAACUACGUGCCAGCCGCCGCGGUAA
rnacentral:rRNA from 1 species